CUGCGCCGCGCUGCUACCCCCAAGCCCGGCGCCGCCGACGGGAAGGCAGCGGCGGGGAGGCCCCCUGGAGGCCUGCUGGGAAAUGGCGGCUGGAGCGGCUGGCGCGUGGGUCCCCUCGGGGAGGCGCCCCAAGCCACGGUCCGUUCCCAAAGAGAAGCCCAGACUGGGCCCACAGUACCCGGGAAGGGCAAGAACCAGACAGAAAUGGAUGGCCGCUUGUUGGUGAAGGACUCACAGUUAGGCAAGGAAGAUCUCUUCUUCAUCAUGUUCCCUAUCACUGACUUCCAUGCUCCCUUAACUCUAUGCCUGAUCAGAACCCACAAACCAAGGAGACACACCUGGUCCUGUUGGUCCAUUUGCUAUUUCGUAGUUGAAUUUCACCUCAGCAUUCUAUAUAGAAGAUUUGUAUUUUUUUCAAUCACAUGCCCUAAUGUAAAUUUCAUGCAUUCAAGGCAGUUGAUUGGUUUCCAAAAAAUUAAAUACAGAAUUGCCAAAUACAUAAUAUAACAAUUCCACUUAAAGCAGGGAAUUUAACAGAUCUUUGAACACUAAUGUUCACAGCAACAUUCAUGGCAGCUAAAAGGUAGAAACAAUCCAAGUAUCAUCAAUAGAUGAAUAGACAAAUAAAACAUGGUAUAGAGGAUAUGGAGAAAAGAAAAGGGAACCCCUGUACACUGUUGGGGGGAAUGUAAAUUAGUACAACCACUAUGAAAAACAGUUUGGAUGUUCCUCAAAAAACUAAAAAUACAGCUAUCAUAGAGUCCAGCAAUCCCACUGCUGUGUAUGUACCCAAAAGAAAGGAAAUCAGUAUAUUGAAGAGAUAUCUGCACUCCCAUGUUUGUUGCAGCACUGCUUA
rnacentral:antisense_RNA from 1 species